rnacentral:misc_RNA from 1 species
GAUGAAGAACGCAGCGAAAUGCGAUAAGUAAUGUGAAUUGCAGAAUUCAGUGAAUCAUCGAAUCUUUGAACGCACAUUGCGCCCGCCAGUAUUCUGGCGGGCAUGACUGUUCGAGCGUCAUUACAACCCUCAGGCCCCCGGGCCUGGCGUUGGGGAUCGGCGGAGCCCCCCGUGGGCACACGCCGUCCCCCAAAUGCAGUGGCGGUCCCGCCGCAGCUUCCAUCGCGUAGUAGCUAACACCUCGCGACUGGAGAGCGGCGCGGCCACGCCGUAAAACACCCAACUCUUCUGAAGUUGACCUCGAAUCAGGUAGGAAUACCCGCUGAACUUAAGCAUAUCAAUAAGCGGAGGA